rnacentral:tRNA from 1 species
GCUUAAAUAGUUUAAAUUAAAAUUGUGAUUUGUGAUAUCAUAGAUGAAUUUUUCUUUAAGUA